rnacentral:rRNA from 1 species
AGGACGAACGCUGGCGGCGUGCUUAACACAUGCAAGUCGAGCGAGAUCCAACCAGUGGCAACACUGGGGAAGAUCUAGCGGCGAACGGGUGAGUAACACGUGAGAAACCUGCCCCGAAGUCCGGGAUAACUCGAGGAAACUCGUGCUAAUACCGGAUAUCUCCUUUUGAUCGCAUGGUCGAAAGAAGAAAGAACUUCGCUUCGGGAGGGUCUCGCGGCCUAUCAGCUUGUUGGCGGGUAACGGCCCACCAAGGCAUCGACGGGUAGCUGGUCUGAGAGGACGAUCAGCCACACUGGGACUGAGACACGGCCCAGACUCCUACGGGAGGCAGCAGUGGGGAAUAUUGCGCAAUGGGCGAAAGCCUGACGCAGCAACGCCGCGUGCGGGAUGAAGGCCUUCGGGUUGUAAACCGCUUUCAGUGGGGACGAAUUGACGGUACCACAGAAGAAGCCCGGCCAACUACGUGCCAGCAGCCGC